UGGUAGAACGCCAGUAUUAGGAGAGUGGUCAGAAAAGCUGAAUAAGAGCACAAAGCCCUGAGUUUGGUACACACACACACACACACACACACACACACACACACACACACACUUGCUGUCUCAUUAACAAUGUAUUACACAUGUUCUUUCAGUGAAUUGAACACGGUACCAAGCCGUGAGCUCUAUUACGCAAGAAAUUUAUUCCGUCUUUUUCUAGUGACAUCUGCAGAGAGGUCAUUAUAGUUACUACAGGCCCUUUCCUAGCCACAUUUCUAGGCUUAAAUUGGAAAUUUUCUUACACUAUUUAAAAUUUGGCAAGUAAAACAGUUCAUAAUUAGCACAACAUGCUGCUUCUGGUAAGGCACAGUUCAUAAUUACUUAAACCACAGAGAUUUUUUAGUUUAAUGGCUAAGAACUUGCGCUUUGAAGCCAGUCUAAAAGGCACAUCAUAAUAACCUUCCUAAGCCUCAGUUUCCCCAAUGCAAAACAGGGAUAAUAAUAGUAACUACCUCAGGGUUGUUGUAAGGGUUAAAUGAUAGUGUUUUUAAUAUGCUUAGCUCAAGUGCCUGGCACACAAUGAGCACUCCAUAAAUGUUAACUACUGUUAUGAAUACAUAAUCCAGGACUGCAAUAGCAUCAUUCCUUAUGGUUUUGUUUUGUUUUGAAGAAAAACAGAUAAAUUAGCCCCACUCCACAUCAGAAUUCCCAGUGGAGUGAAGUCUCAGUCAUUGUGUUGUCCAAGAAUCUCUUCAGGUGUUUCAAACUCCCAUCACUGAACAUUGUCAGUGCCCUUUGCUUUAUAGUCUAAGAAACUAGAGAAGAGGGUUAGUUACUUGUCAAUGAUCUCAAAAUAGUAGCAGACUCAAGGAUAGUAUUCAGUCUCCUGACUUUUGGUUACGAUCUUUCUACCAUAUCUUCUAUCUUGUGAGACACUGCUAAGAAGUGACUCUUGUUAAAGAGACAAUCAGCCCUCAGUGGUGCACAUUCUGUAAAGCACAUAUGCUCCCUGGCAUACUCUGACCUUAGGGGCUUAAAUGUUGAGUAAUGGUAACAUUAUCAAUGCAAACAACCAGCAAACCUAGUGACUUAAUGAUUAUCUGAGCUUUUUCUCUUAGCCCUCCACAGCAACAGCAAUCUGCACAAUGGUCUUAAAGAAUAUCAAGUACCAGCUUAGAUUUAAAUGAAAAAGUUCAGUAUCUUAGUGACUAUUAAGAUAAUAUAUAUAAAAGCACUUUGAGAAAGUAUCAAAUGUAAUAUAAUAUAAAAUUGUAUAACAUUUGAUUAGAUGCUGAUUGACUUAAAGGCUCUCAUGUGUUGGGGACAUGCAGAAUAUAUAAAGAAUCACCUAUAAUUUAUUUCAUUUGUAAAUAUGAAAGUGCUAUUAAUAUGUGCAAGUAUAGCAAAUGUUUUACUGAAGUUACAGCUCCAAGCUGAAUAACCUCAAAAUAUUUGGAACCAAUAUAUUGGUUUAAUUCUUACCUUUAAAAGUAGUAUAAAUGAUGUCACACACUUGUAAUUACAGCACUUGGGAGGUUCAGGCAAGUGGAUCAUAAAUUUGAGGCCAGCAUGUGCUACAGAGAAAGACCAUGUAUUU